rnacentral:rRNA from 1 species
GACGAACGCUGGCGGCGUGCUUAACACAUGCAAGUCGAGCGAGGUCCAACCAGCCGCAAGGCUGGGGAAGACCUAGCGGCGAACGGGUGAGUAACACGUGAGCAACCUGCCCCGAAGAUCGGGAUAACACCGGGAAACCGGUGCUAAUACCGAAUACCCCCACCGGACCGCAUGGCUCGGUGAGGAAAGGAUUCUGCUUCGGGAGGGGCUCGCGGCCUAUCAGCUUGUUGGUGGGGUAACGGCCCACCAAGGCCUCGACGGGUAGCUGGUCUGAGAGGACGACCAGCCACACUGGGACUGAGACACGGCCCAGACUCCUACGGGAGGCAGCAGUGGGGAAUCUUGCGCAAUGGGCGAAAGCCUGACGCAGCAACGCCGCGUGGGGGAUGAAGGCCUUCGGGUUGUAAACCCCUUUCAGCAGGAACGAAAUUGACGGUACCUGCAGAAGAAGCCCCGGCCAACUACGUGCCAGCAGCCGCGGUAAUACGUAGGGGGCGAGCGUUGUCCGGAAUUAUUGGGCGUAAAGAGCGUGUAGGCGGUUCGGUAAGUCUGCUGUGAAAUCCUGGGGCUCAACCCUGGGCGCGCAGCGGAUACUGCCGGGCUAGAGGGUGGUAGAGGCGAGUGGAAUUCCGAGUGUAGCGGUGAAAUGCGCAGAUAUUCGGAGGAACACCAGUAGCGAAGGCGGCUCGCUGGGCCACACCUGACGCUGAGACGCGAAAGCGUGGGGAGCGAACAGGAUUAGAUACCCUGGUAGUCCACGCCGUGAACGAUGGAUACUGGGUGUGGGGGGAGUCGAAUCCCUCUGUGCCGAAGUUAACGCGUUAAGUAUCCCGCCUGGGGAGUAC